rnacentral:rRNA from 1 species
UGCAGUCGAGCGGCAGCACGACUUCGAUCUUUCUGACGGUGGCGAGUGGUGUAUGUGCAUGAAUGUGUCCCACUCAGCGGGGGAUAGCUACACGAAAGCGUAGCUCAUACCCCAAACCCCCUACCGGGGAAAGCAGGGGAUCGCGAGACCUUGCACUAUUAGAGCGGCCGAUGUCGGAUUAGUCUAGUUGGUGGGGUAACGGCUCACCAAGGCGACGAUGCGUAGCUGGUUUGAGAGGACGACCAGCCACACUGGGACUGAGACACGGCCCACACUCCUACCGGAGGCAGCAGUGGGGAAUUUUGGACAAUGGGGGAAAGCCUGAUCCAGCCAUCCCGCGUGUGCGAUGAAGGCCUUCGGGUUGUAAAGCACUUUUGCUCUUUAAUAAGCUUCCUGCUUUAAUACCUCGUUACUCA